GUCCUUUUGAUUUUUAUUUAAGGUCUAACCUGCCCAAUGAUUAUUUUAAUGGCUGCGAUAUUCUAAUCGUACAAAGGUAGCAUAGUAAUUUGUCUCUUAAUUAGAGGCUUGUAUGAAUGGUUGGACGAGAUAUAUACUUUCUUUAUUUUAUAUUUAAUAAAUUUAAUUUUUGAGUUAAAAAGCUUAAAUUUUUUUAUAGGACGAGAAGACCCUAUAGAACUUUAUUUUUAAAUAAAUAAUUUAUUUUUGGUAUAUUAUUAUUUUUUAUUUAUUUGAAAAUUUUGUUGGGGUGACAGGAAGAUUUUAUUAACUCUUUUUUAUUUUUUCAUAGAUUAUUGUUUUGUUGAUCCAGUAUUAUUGAUUAUAAGAUUAAGUUACCUUAGGGAUAACAGCGUUAUUUUUUCGGAGAGUUCUUAUUGAUGAAGAAGUUUGCGA
rnacentral:rRNA from 1 species